rnacentral:rRNA from 1 species
UUUGCAUAUUCAAAUAGCGGAGGAAAAGAAACCAACAGGGAUUGCCUCAGUAACGGCGAGUGAAGCGGCAAAAGCUCAAAUUUGAAAUCCCCCCGGGGAGUUGUAAUUUGAAGAUUGCGUCUUGGAGGCGACCGUGUCUAUGUUCCUUGGAACAGGACGUCACAGAGGGUGAGAAUCCCGUGCGGCACGGCCCCCGGCUCCUUAUAAGGCGCUCUCGACGAGUCGAGUUGUUUGGGAAUGCAGCUCAAAGUGGGUGGUAAAUUCCAUCUAAAGCUAAAUACAGGCGAGAGACCGAUAGCGAACAAGUACAGUGAUGGAAAGAUGAAAAGCACUUUGAAAAGAGAGUGAAACAGCACGUGAAAUUGUUGAAAGGGAAGGGCAUGCCGUCAGAUUGUCAGUGUGGGUAAGAAGCGGGGUACAAAGACUGUGGAACGUGGCCCUCGGGUGUUAUAGCCGCAGUUCAUGCCCCGUCUCUUUCCGAGGCCUGCUUUGAGGACACCGACGUAAUGACGGUACGCCGCCCGUCUUAAACCCCCGAACCAAAA